AUGGGCGCAUUGGCUAAAUUUCCAUGUAGGUCUGGGUUUCGUUUCAUGUGAAGGAACCAAAUCCCAACGUUUACCGUUUCUGAUUACGGCAAGCAAGAAAGCAGUGAAACAUAUGCGGAAUUAGACCUCUCACCUACACAGACUCAGGAUUGACGAGUUUGCGUUAGAUCAAAGUAAUAAACAUACCCACACAAUUACAUGUACGCGCAUAGGUUCGCCUAACUUUCUUCCAGAACAAAGCAAAAUUUGGCAACAAACAACCUCCUUCGCAACGCCACGGUAUCAAUCGGAUCGGGGCAAUUCCAGUUAAGAGGGAGAUCCUGAUGGUGAUUGAGACUUGGCCUUGAUUUAUAAAGGGGUUUCGAGUGGGGAGCAAAAACGGAGGGGAUCGGAUGGACAAGAACAAGAGUCGUACCGAUCUGCUCGCUGCGGGACGGAAAAAGCUUCAACAAUUUCGCCAGAAGAAGGAUGGUAAAGGAAGUAGCAGUCAAGGAAUGUCUUCCAAAAGAUCUAACAAAUCCGAGCAGCAUGAAUCUGAUGCUGGUGCAGCAUCUUCUGUUGCCAAACCAAAAGUCUCUUCGCAGGUCUCUGAAGGGGAAGUUGCUGCUGUUGACUUGGCAGCAUUGCAGUCUAUGGAGAGUUCAUUGCCUUCUGGGCUUGAUACUACUGCAGUUGUUUCAUCACUGGAGCCCAUUGCAUCUGCGACAGUCAAUGUCAAGACUGUAGUAGCCCAUAAUGCAGGAGUACCCACUGACUUGGUAGCCCUUGGUGAGUGUGAUGUUGAUUCUUCAGUCCCUAAUGGAGGGGAAAGUACUCAGAGUGUUGACAGUUUGACAAGCACAGAAAUACCUUGCUCACCUGAGGAUAUCCCAGCUUUUGAAGGGGAAACAAAAGAUGAUGUUGUGCCACAUCCAUCUGCUUCAGUUGAUAACAUGGAAGGGACAGUAGUUAAACUUGAUUUGGCAGGUGUCAACAAGGAAAUGGGGCAGAAUCCGCUGCUUUCACAAGACUAUUUUCCUGAUAUAUCCUUGUCUCAAGCAAGGGGAGAUCAGGUAACAGAUGUAGGGGCAAUGCAGGAAUCUGAUGGUUUGGGGUUGAACCAAGUUGAUAGAGGUGGUGAAACAGAGUUUGAAGUUGAUGGUAGACUUCCUUUGUCUGAGUACGGUGAAUGUGCUGAACCUCUUGGAGGGACAACUUCAGAAGUAACUAGCAUGGAGGGGCCAUCCAGCGAGGCAGAACAGGCUGUCAGCGGAGAUGAUGCAUCUGUAUGUACUGGGGCAGCCAGCUGUUCCCAGGCAGAUGGAAGUUUGGCUGCUAAUUCUCAGUUGACAACUAAGCAGGCUGAAGAUGUAAUACCUUGUUCAUCUGUUGAAGAAGAACAAGAAAUGUGCUCUCCAUUUGGUGAUUAUGGUUGUAACAAGACUUUAGAAGGAGAUCAGAAAUGUUUACCAAAGGGCUCCUUUGUGUCUCAGGAUAGAAGUCAUGAAAGAUCUCUUCAGAUGAAAGGGGCAAGUUCAUCAGAUCUGACUCUGACUCUGACUCUUUUCAGAGAUGGUUCUCCAGUCAGACUCUCUCAGUUAGUAGAGCUGAUAAGAAGUCUUGAUGAAGAUGAAUAUAGGCUUCUGCUAAACUUGCAAGAAUUGGUUUCUGUUGCAAAUGUUGGGACUGAUAAUUUAGCACCAUCUUACCAUCCAGAUUUAUUUGAGAAAUUGAAAGAGGAAUUAUAUCUCACAAGUCUUAAAAAAGAUAUAUUUUACUUACAGCUUUCUGAGCAGUCAGAUCUGCAUUUGGAAUCUGAUCGGCAUUGUCAGCAGCUUAUUGAUGAGAUAUCUGUGCUUCGCACUUCAGUCAAUGAGGUUCACGAGGGGAAUGCAUGCCUUGCAGAAGAGCUAGCACGAUGCAGGUCUGAACUCCAUGUUUUUGCUAGUGGAAGGGAGGAGCUGCAAAACCAAUUUCAUACUGCUUUGGCACGGGCUGAGGAGUUUUCUUCUAGAGCAAAUGAGUUGCAGAUUAGACUGGAAAGGUCACAAGAGGACUUAUCAAGCCUCUUGUCUGAAUUAGCUGAGUGCAAGAAUCAGGUGGACACUUUACAGCUGGAUAAUGAGAACUUGAAUAGGACUCUUCAUUUGCUAUCUGAGGAGAGAAAGACACUUGCAGAGGAAAAGGAAUCUUCUCUCAAUGAGAAUGAAAAACUGUCAAUAGAGUUAGCUAGAUGCAAGGAUUUGGUGGUAACUUUCCAGGAGGAGAGUGAGCAGUUAAAUUUGAGUCUUGCUUCACUGACUGAGGGGAGAAACACACUAGUGGAUGAGAAAAUGUUGUCUAUUCGUGAGAAUGAGAAGCUACUGACAGAAUUAGCUGACUGCAAGGUUUUGAUUGCGGCUUUACAGGUGGAACAUUCUGACAUAAGCAAGAAUCUUGCUCUAAUGACGGAACAGAGAAUGAAGCUUGAAGAAGAAAAGGAGUUUCUUGCUCAUGGGAAAGAGAAAGCAGAGCUUGACUUGGAAGAGUGUAAGGAUUUGUUGGCUGCUUUACAAGUUGAAAGGUCCAACUUGAAUGGGAACCUUGCUUUCGUUACAGAGGAGAAAAGGAAGCUUGAGGAGGACAAGGAGUAUUUUGUCCAUGAGAACAAGAGACUUGCUACUGAGCUACUUGUUCUUCAAGAGCAGCUAACUAAAGAACGUGGGGAACACAUACAACUUGAGGCUGAGCUAAAAGAUGUAACAGUACGCCUAGAGAAGCUAAUGGAGGAAAAUUGUUUUCUCAAUGCCAGUCUGGACAUACAUAAGGCCAAGAAAGUGGAAAUUGAUGGUAAGGAAACCCACAAUGUUGAAGCAGCGAGUCAAGUAAAAAGUUUGGAUGUGGAUAGCGGGGUCCAUGAAAAUGAACAUUCCUGUAAAAGCCCUUGGAAACGAGAUCCUGAAGUAUCCUCUAUGGUAUUGGAGAAAGCCUUACCUGAUGAUGUUGUUGGUGGGCCAUCACUUGUGCUGCUUGAGCAGGAAGUCUUUGAUGAUUCUUCUGGUUUUCUUGUCUUGAAGGGACACUUGAAGGAGGCUGAGAGAAUAUUGCAAAACCUUGGAAAGGCAAUUGAACAGAUGUACUCUCAUUCAGCCUCAGUACAGUGCUCCAGCAGUAAAUCGGCUGCACCAGGAGUAUCAAAACUGAUUCAAGCCUUCGAGUCAAAGGUGCAUCAUGAUGAACCUGAGGUUGAGGAAAGAGAUUUGACGGAAUACCAAUUACUGGGAGACCUGUUUAAUUCAACUAAAGAGGUAACAGAAAAUCUGAGAGCAAUGCUUAAGCUCUUGGGUCAGGAUGCUGAUAAUGCCAGUUCACUCUAUAGAGGAGAGAGGGAUAGUAGAAAAUCUUCUAAUUUCUCAUUUGGUGAGCUCAGGGUUCAACAUGCAUCUUUGAAGGAAUACAGUGAUAAUCUUGAAGCAAUCAGCAUCGAGCUGGGGAUUUUGUAUGAAGCUGCUAAGCAACAUGCAUUUUUAAUUGAAGCUAAGAACAAUGAACUUGAGGUUCUCUAUGAAGCUCUAAAGCAGAAAGAAAGUGGCCUCAGUUCAGAAAAUGCUGAGCUUGGUGAGAAAUUGAUUGAGUAUCAGUUGAGACUUACGGAAAUGGAGGGUCAAUUUUCUGAUUUACAGCAAAGGUCAGAUGAGAUGGCUUCUGCUUUAAAUCGACAGUUAGAAAGUUCGAGGAAGGAAGCAGCUGAGAGGGCAUUGACGCUUGAACUAGAAUGGAAAUCUACAGUUACUCAGAUUGUUGAAACGGUCAGGAGGCUUGAUGAGUCUGUUGGGAGGGUUUCCAACUCCAGCUUCUCAAAUAACAGCAAUGAUAUCUUGGAUACAAAUAGCCAGGUUGCUACAUCUGUUAGUUCUGCCAUUAAUUCUAUCCAGGAUCUACAAGAGAAACUAGAAGCUGCUUAUGCAGAUCAUGAUGCAAUGUCUAAUUCAUUCAAAGAAGUCAAUGAGAAGUAUAAUGAUUUGCUCAGGAAGAAUGAAUUGAUGACAGGGAUACUACAUGAGUUGUACAAUGACCUGAAGAAACUUGUGAUUGAUUCAUGUGCAUAUGUGGGCGAGGCUGAGGUGAAUGUGCUAGUCCAGAAGCUGCCUGAGCCCUUAGAUUACAGCAAGUAUAAGAUCUUUGUCAAACAACUGGAGAAUGUUUUGGGUGAAAGGAUGCAGCUUCAGUCUGUUAAUGACCAACUUAAUUCAGAAUUGAUGAAUAGGACAAGGGGCUUUGAGGAAAUGAGCAGAAAGUGCCUUAAUUCAAAUGCCAUUCAAAAGCUUAUAGAACAUGUUGAGAAUGUUGUAAAACUGGAAGACUAUGAGAGUGACUCAGAUAAAGCACCUGGUUCCUGCCUUGAAUUGUUAGUUUGUUUGCUUGUUAAGAAAUACAAAGAAAUUGUUGAGCAGGUGAGUGAUUGUAGACAGGAGUUUGGAUCUAAGGUGGCUGAACUGACAGAAGUAGAGGAAAAGAUACAUCAGUUAGAUGCACUGAGACUUCAGCAGGAACUGGAAAUCCUUACUCUGAAAGAAAGUUUGCGGCAUGAAGAGGAAGCCCUUAUGGGUGCACGUUCCGAGUUAGAGGCAAAAAUAAGUGAACUUGAACAGUCAGAGCAGCGAGUGUCUUCUGUUAGGGAGAAGCUUAGCAUAGCUGUGGCCAAAGGGAAAGGUUUGGUGGUGCAGCGUGAUGGUCUUAAACAAUCACUUGCAGAGACAUCUGCUGAACUAGAGAGAUGCUCUCAGGAAUUACAGGCAAAAGAUUGCCGGCUUCAGGAAUUAGAAAUAAAACUGAAGACUUACUCAGAGGCAGGUGAACGUGUGGAAGCUCUGGAAUCUGAACUUUCAUACAUUCGCAACUCAGCUACUGCAUUAAGAGAAUCAUUUCUUCUCAAAGACUCUGUACUGCAGAGAAUUGAAGAGAUUUUAGAAGACCUAGAUCUGCCAGAGCAUUUCCAUUCUAGAGAUAUAAUUGAAAAGGUUGAUUGGUUAGCGAGGUCCACCACCAGUAAUUCUUUGCCUCCCACUGAUUGGGAUCAGAAAAGUUCUAUCGGAGGUUCACACUCUGAUGCAGGUUUUGUCACUGUGGAUACCUGGAAAGAAGAUGCACAACCAAGCUCAACUUUAGGGGAGGACUUGAAAAGAAAAUAUGAGGACCUUCAGAGCAAAUUUUAUGGGUUGGCAGAACAAAACGAAAUGCUGGAACAGUCUUUAAUGGAAAGGAACCAUUUGGUGCAAAAAUGGGAGGAACUUUUGGAUUUAAUCGAUGUGCCUUCACAGUUGCGGUCCAUGGAACCUGAAGAAAAGAUUGAAUGGUUAGGAGGGGCAUUUUCAGAGGCUAAUCAUGAUAGAAAUUCUUUGCAGAAGAAGAUUGAUAACCUUGAAAAUUAUUGUGGGUCACUAGCUGCUGAUUUGGAAGAGUCUGAAAAGAGAGUAUCUGACGUUGAGGCAGACCUUCAAUCAGUUACUCUUGAGAGGGAUCAUCUUGCUGAAAGAUUAGAGACUUUAACUUCUGAUCAUCAUAACCUUUCGGCGAAGGCAGCUCAUUUUGAACUUGAGAAUGAAAAACUUCAGAUUAAAGUUAGUGGUUUGCAGGAAGAAUUGUCUAAGAGGAUUGAGGAGGAGGAACAUCUUCUCAAGAUGGAAGGUGAAAUAAGGAGAUUGCAGUACUUGGUAUCUGAUGUGUUGCAGGAUCCAGAGGCAAAAGAUUUGGUUUCUGGUGGCAGUAGUACUGCAUGCUUGGAAAGAUUACUGGAGAAACUUAUAGAGAAUUACACUAAUCUCAAGUCUGUGAAUCCUGAACUUGUGGAUAUUGAAAUGGACCAGACCAAGCUACCUGAUGCAACCCUUGAUGAAGCUAGAAGCAGGGAUACAAUGACUACUCAGGAGGAUGUAGCUUCUUUAAAGAAAGAGCUGGAGGAAAGGCUGCAUGACUUGAUGCAAGUGAAGGAGGAAAGAGAUGAAAUCCUUGGAAAGCAUCAAUCUUUGCUUCAUGAAGUUGAAGCACUCGAAAGGAAAACGGUGGAGUUGCAGGAGCUACUUAAUCAAGAAGAGCAGAAGUCAGCUUCUGGGAGAGAAAAGUUAAAUGUUGCUGUUAGAAAAGGGAAAUCUUUGGUGCAACAACGGGACAGUCUGAAGAAAACCAUUGAAGAGAUGAAUGCUGAACUGGAACAGUUGAAAUCUGAGCUUAGUGACCGGGAAAAUACUCUGUCUGAUUAUGAAUUGAAGAUGAGGGAAUUCUCUGCUUACCCUGAAAGAGUAAAAGCCUUAGAAGCUGACAGUUUGUUCUUAAGGAAUCAUCUGACAGAAACUGAGCACAUGUUGGAGGAGAAAGGACAUAUUUUAACUAGGGUAUUAAAUGCAAUAGCUGACAUUGAUGUUGGUGUUGAAAUUGAAAUGUUUGAUCCGGUGGAGAAGUUGGGACGAAUUGAGAAAGUGUGCCAUGAUUUGCAUGCAGCUGUGGUUUCUUCUGAACAAGAGUCACGGAAGUCGAAGAGAGCUGCAGAGCUACUGCUUGCAGAGUUGAAUGAAGUGCAAGAGAGAAACGAUGGUCUGCAGGAAGAUUUAGCAAAAGUUGCCAGUGAACUUACAGAAGUCAUGAAGGAAAGGGAUGCGGCAGAGGCUGCAAAACUUGAAGUUCUCUCACGUCUUGAAAAGUUAUUUACAGUUCACUCUGAAGAAAAAAGGAAACAGUAUUCUGAAUUAAUGAUGUUACAAUCUAGUGUAAAUGAACUGAGGACGGGUGUCAAUGAUAUUCAUAAUCUUUUGUCCAAUGUUUUCUCAAAGGACUUGGAAUUUCUGCAAAAUUUGGAGGCUAACAUUAGUUCAUGCUUGGAAGCAGAUGAUGCCCAAGAUGCGUCUGGCUCACCAUACAGUAUAUCCAGCAAUUUAGAGGAAAAGGUGAACUUUCAAUCCAUGGAUGCUUGGUCAGUCGUCAAUAUGCAGGACCUUAUGGAUGACAAUGCUAUAGUCAAAGUUUGCAGUUUAAUCAGGCAUCACCUGCAAGAUUUGACAACUGAAAUUACUACACUCAAAGAAAAGUUGAUUGUGCAGUCAAAAUCAUUACAUGGACAAAGUCAAAGUAUAUGGAAUGCACUGGGGAUCUUGCAUAGAGAAAGAAAUUAUCUGAAAGAGUCAUUUGAAGCUAUGAGGAGGAAUAUUCUGCAUAUAGAAUCAGUUGGGAAAGAGAAAGAUAUGGAGAUUGUUGUGUUGAGAAGAAACAUUGCGUUGCUUUAUGAAGCAUGUGCUAAUUCAGUCUUGGAAAUUGAAAAUAGAAAAGCCGAGCUAUUAGGAAAUAAUUUGGCUACUGCAGGUCUGGUGACUAACAUGAAGCCUGCAAUAUUAGCUGAUGGAGGACUUUCUUUUGGUGGACAAAAUAGUGUUUUGUCUGAGGAACAUAUCAAAACUAUGGCAGAUAAACUUUUGUCAAUGAUGAAAGAUUUUUCGAGCAUGAAAGCUGAAAUUACUGAAGGAAACCAAAGGGAAAUGAAAAUUACCAUAGCAAAUUUGCAGAAAGAGCUUCAGGAGAAGGACAUCCAGAAAGAAAGGAUAUGCAUGGAGCUUGUUGGUCAAAUCAAGUUAGCUGAAGCUGCUGCCACGAAUUACUCACGAGAUCUUCACUCUUCAAAAACACUGGUGUAUGAUUUGGAGAAAGAACUGGAAGUAAUGAGGGAAGAACUGACGUCAUUGCAGCAGAGAGUAAAAGAACUGCAGGAUGUGCAAGCAAACACAGAGGAAUUGCAGGGUAGAGUCAAAUCACUGACAGAUGUGUUAUCAUCCAAAGACCAAGAAAUUGAGGCACUUAUGCAAGCACUUGAUGAGGAGGAGUUUCAAAUGGAAGAGUUGACAAAGAAGGUUGAGGAACUAGAAAAAGUCCUGCAACAGAAGAACACAGAUUUAGAGAACCUUGAAGCUUCCCGUGGAAAGAUUGUGAAAAAGCUUUCCAUCACUGUAAGCAAGUUUGAUGAGCUUCAUAAUCUAUCAGAAAGUCUUCUUACCGAGGUUGAACAGCUGCAAUCACAACUACAAGAUCGGGAUGCUGAGAUUUCCUUCUUAAGACAAGAGGUUACCAGAUGCACCAAUGAUGCUCUUGCUGCAUCACAAAUGGGCAAUAGAAGAGACACAGAUGAGAUAUAUGAGUUUCUAACUUGGUUUGAGGCAGUUGUUUCUCGUGUUGGGUUACCUGAUCUGCAUUUUGAUACGAAUAAUAGUCAGGUGCCUGAAUACAAGGAAAUAAUACAGAAAAAGAUUAGUUCUAUUAUAUCUGAACUAGAGGACCUACGGGGGGUUGCUCAAAAUAGGGAUGAAUUGUUGCAAGCAGAACGGAGUAAAGUGGAGGAGUUGACACGCAGAGAAGAAACUCUUAAGAAGACUUUGCAUGAGAAGGAAUCCCAAUUAAAUUUGCUUGAAGGUGUGGGAGAUGUGGGUCAGGCAGCUAGUUUGAAUUCUGAAAUUGUGGAAGUUGAACCUCUGAUAAACAAGUGGACAGUAGCAGGGACCUCUACAGCAUCCCAAGUUCGUAGUUUGCGUAAAGUCAAUAAUGAUCAAGUUGCUAUUCCUAUAGAUAUGGAUGAUGGUAGUAAUAGUAGGUUAGAAGAUGAAGAUGAAGAUAAAGUACAUGGUUUCAAAUCACUUACCACAUCAAGAGUUGUUCCAAGGUUUACGAGACCGAUAACUGAUAUGAUUGAUGGAUUGUGGGUUUCUUGUGAUCGAGCGCUCAUGCGACAACCUGCCUUAAGGCUUGGCAUUAUAAUAUAUUGGGCUGUACUGCAUACACUGUUGGCAGCUUUUGUAUUUUGACGAGCCAGGUUAGUAGUGGCCUCUUUCCCAGAUGUAGUUAUUUCAUGGAGUUCUAGGAUCGUGCUUGGUUAUCCAUUGUUUGUGUCAAAGUUUAGCAAGGAGAGCCAACCAUGAUUCUGCCUUCAAAUGCUUACCAGGCUCCAUAAUCUUUUUUUUUUCCUUUUCUAAACAUUGGUUCAUUAUUUAGCUCAACCAGGCAACUUUGAUUUGCGGUUUUUAUUUGUAUGCAUCUCAGAUUGCUUGGUUAUGUCCAAUAAGGAAAAAUCCUUGUUACAAUUAUGUAUGGCAUAGUUUAAGGAUUGUUCACUUUGAACCAA